AUGUACACAUCUCCAAGUUCAGACUUUGAACUGUAGAAGUUGAACGCAGAGAUGUACAUCG
rnacentral:pre_miRNA from 1 species